GAGGCGGCGCUCCUGUAAUUUAUUCAGCAAUUCCGGUGAAAAAUUCCGGCACCCUCACACUAGUGCCUCUGAUUCGUAAUGGUGUUCUUAGCUCAGCCUAGAUGCUUCUGAAGUUCCUCUGCCCAAAAUUCGAGCUUUCAAGACGAGGAACUGCCGCGGGCUCAGCGUUACUACCACCUCCCUCUAUGACACUAUUGGUGCUGUCUUUUUAGACGUCGGCAUCCAUUUCGGAUGUGUAGACACUGGAAAGUGCCCUGGAGAGAAGGGUGACCGUGGUCAGAAGCCACCCUAGCCUGGAUCUUUGAGAGCAGAGCCGAGGCAAUGGCUUAGAUGCGUCUGCUUCGCUAUGGAGUGCAGUCGCCGGCAGCAGAAGGAGGGGCAGGCGCACAGCGCACACAGCCGACAGCACGGAGCUGACCUUGGCUUGGGCUCAAGCACAGCCAGAGGCUUUGUCUUUGGGGACUGUCCUCUAAGAGACUCUAAGAGAACGUUUUACGCAUGACUCAGGAAGGUCUAGUCAGGGAAAAUGGGGAAGACUCAGUUCCCUCCUCCGAUUCAAAGACUAGCCCUUUCCGUCUGAGCAGGUUGCUCACCCACAGCUGAUCCCAUAGCCUCCCUGACCUAAGCAGCCUACAGAGACACCCUGGGUGGAAGUGGAAAGUGUGAAGAUCUAAGCACAAGGCACUGGAAUAAGGAACCCUCCCGGGGAAGAGGUGUCUCUGGAGAAGGGUCAGAGAAGUUUCCGGAGAGAAGGGGGAGCUCUAACAGAAAAGAAUCAGCUUUGGGGGUAAAGCAAGUACACAUAUUGAAGAGUGAGAGAUGCCUUCUGGAGUAUUUUUUUUAAAGGCAUCUUGGUGAAGGGUGGGUGUGGGGAGGUAAGUGGGAUUGAUAUCUGCUGGUGAUCUCAAGACAGUUUCUGGUGGUCUGGUCAAUCUCCUUAGACUGAUGUGGGCUUCAUUAUCUGAUGGGUAGAUACUGCUGUUUCCCUAAAUUAUAGGAUUCUCAAAAUAAAAAUAAAUUUUACACACUUUAUUGGGGAUGGUUAAUUCACAGUACUCAGGUAGAUUUACACAUUUUCCAGGAAUUUGGGAUAAAGGACCUGGGAAAGAUACUGGU
rnacentral:lncRNA from 1 species